ensembl:lncRNA
UUCCUACUUUAUGUUUUACUUUAAAGAUAAUUUUCAGACUUUCUGCAUUUCAUCACUAACAAAUAAUAUUGAAACUAACUAACCUGUAACAUGUGACUGAAUUGCUUCUGAAUCUUUGGAAACUAUGGUUAAUUUUUAUUGACUUACUUUAUGUGAAUUAUCUUACUAAAUUAUAGUUUAAUAAAUCUCCUAUAGUCAGUAAUAAUUUCAUUAACAUGUAUAUGUUAACCAAUUUUCAGACUAGUCAGAUGUCCUGCUUCAGGACUAGGGCAAAAGAUUUUGAAAUGGUCUAAGAGAACUGAAUUUCUAUUAAGCAGAACAUUCUAUGGUGUGUUAAGUGUUUGGAAUUGAGCUGAUGAGUCCCAGCAAAGUUUUACCCUUAGAAAGGUGGGGAAAAGUUUUAAGAUGGUCUGUGCCAAGAAUGGCCCCAGGGUAUUCCCUAAAAAAAUAUUGGCCACCAUCUUCCUAGGUGCUGCAAUUCCAUAAUAGUCAUUAUGGUUAGUCUUCAGUUUCAUAAAAAUGUUACUGCCUCAGACUUGCCAUUAACAGUGUCUCAGCACUCAUAUUGCCAACCAUCUACUGGCAUGCAAGGAAGACAGGUAAGAAGGGCCUGUGCAUCCUUUAGCAGUUGUUAACUAGAUACAGACCUACUUCACUCAGGAUAGUUAUGUCUCUCACUGAGAAGAGAUUUCUGAAGUCUACUAAGUGUUCUAAAUGAGUUACAUAUGUGUAUGUAAAUGUCUAUGUAUACUAUAUAUAUUCUACUUGUGUUUUUUUAAAAUUACUUAAAUUCUUAUGUCUUGUUCAAUAUGUAAGAUGAAAAUGGAGUCGUUCAGUGUUUGCAUUGUAGACAUGACAACUGUCUAUAUGGUAUAGUUGAACAUCUUUUGAUCACUGGCUGACUGCAUUGAUCAGCUUUCUGUCACUAUAACAAAAUACCUGAGAUAAUGAACUUAUAAGAAAGGCUUGUUUUUGUCUCACAACUUUGGAGGUUUCAAUCUGUGAGCAGUUGGCCCCGUGGCUUUGGGCUUGUGACAAAGUAGCACAUUAUGGCAGGGGAGUGAGGACAAAGCAAAACUGCUUACCUCAUGAUCAGGAAGUAAGGAAGGAGAGAGGAAAGGUCCAAGGUACCCAGGAUCAAGUGUGCACCCCGAAUGACCUAAGGCCUCCCAGUGGGCGUCACUUCCCAAAGGUUCUACCACCUCCCAAUAAUGCUACCUGGAACCAAGCCGCUGACAUGUAGACUUUUGGGGGGGUAUUCAGCCUCCAAGCUACAGCAUUAUUCAAUCUAAAGCAGUUGAUCUGGCUUUGAUAUUUGAAAUCAGAUGAUUAAAAUUUUUUAAUUUUAAAAUUACAUUACUAGAAAUAGAAAGCUUUUAAUAGUUAAUUUUAGAUUAAAAAAAAAACAGCAAAUGCCAUGUAUGCAUUCAACAAAUGUUUCCCAGAAUUCUCUUUUCACAAGGCAUAGCCACGGGUCUGGUGGAAGUGUUCCAUAUAUUUGGAUCAAAAAUCUUCAGUGUUUCUAUGUGUUAUUGAUUACUUGUGUCUCUUACCUAAAAUGACAUUGUUUGUAACCCAAACCUAUUCUAAUACAUGUACAUAUACAUACUGUGUGUAGCCAAGAACACUAAGUUGGUGAAAUAUCUUAGAAAACAUACAUUUGAAUUUGAAUGUCUAAUGCACAAGAAAAUUUAUUAGCAUUCCAGAUGAAUAUAUAUUUUUGUAACUGUGAAGUGAAUGAGUAGAACAUAGAAUUUUGCUUAAAAAUAUUUUUAUAAGUACUCAUGUACUCAAUAUUCACUAUUUUAAACAGUAAAAUAUCAAAUUGGUUCUUUUUAAAUAGUAAUUGUUUUGAACAUAUGUAUAUUUAACAUUGUAUAACAUCAACAAUUUAAUGAUAAAUUUCAUCUGAAAGUGUUAUUAGUCUUUUUUUUUGUAAAAUAUCUGUGACAUAAGUUCAAUC